AGGGGGGGGCCUAUACAUGCAGUCGAGCGACAGAUAAGGAGCUUGCUCCUUUGACGUUAGCGGCGGACGGGUGAGUAACACGUGGAUAACCUACCUAUAAGACUGGGAUAACUUCGGGAAACCGGAGCUAAUACCGGAUAACAUAUUGAACCGCAUGGUUCAAUAGUGAAAGGCGGCUUUGCUGUCACUUAUAGAUGGAUCCGCGCCGUAUUAGCUAGUUGGUAAGGUAACGGCUUACCAAGGCAACGAUACGUAGCCGACCUGAGAGGGUGAUCGGCCACACUGGAACUGAGACACGGUCCAGACUCCUACGGGAGGCAGCAGUAGGGAAUCUUCCGCAAUGGGCGAAAGCCUGACGGAGCAACGCCGCGUGAGUGAUGAAGGUCUUCGGAUCGUAAAACUCUGUUAUCAGGGAAGAACAAAUGUGUAAGUAACUGUGCACAUCUUGACGGUACCUGAUCAGAAAGCCACGGCUAACUACGUGCCAGCAGCCGCGGUAAUACGUAGGUGGCAAGCGUUAUCCGGAAUUAUUGGGCGUAAAGCGCGCGUAGGCGGUUUUUUAAGUCUGAUGUGAAAGCCCACGGCUCAACCGUGGAGGGUCAUUGGAAACUGGAAAACUUGAGUGCAGAAGAGGAAAGUGGAAUUCCAUGUGUAGCGGUGAAAUGCGCAGAGAUAUGGAGGAACACCAGUGGCGAAGGCGACUUUCUGGUCUGUAACUGACGCUGAUGUGCGAAAGCGUGGGGAUCAAACAGGAUUAGAUACCCUGGUAGUCCACGCCGUAAACGAUGAGUGCUAAGUGUUAGGGGGUUUCCGCCCCUUAGUGCUGCAGCUAACGCAUUAAGCACUCCGCCUGGGGAGUACGACCGCAAGGUUGAAACUCAAGGAAUUGACGGGGACCCGCACAAGCGGUGGAGCAUGUGGUUUAAUUCGAAGCACGCGAAGGACCUUACCAAAUCUUGACAUCCUUUGACUGCUCUAGAGAUAGAGUUUUCCCCUUCGGGGGACAAAGUGACAGGUGGUGCAUGGUUGUCGUCAGCUCGUGUCGUGAGAUGUUGGGUUAAGUCCCGCAACGAGCGCAACCCUUAAGCUUAGUUGCCAUCAUUAAGUUGGGCACUCUAAGUUGACUGCCGGUGACAAACCGGAGGAAGGUGGGGAUGACGUCAAAUCAUCAUGCCCCUUAUGAUUUGGGCUACACACGUGCUACAAUGGACAAUACAAAGGGCAGCUAAACCGCGAGGUCAAGCAAAUCCCAUAAAGUUGUUCUCAGUUCGGAUUGUAGUCUGCAACUCGACUACAUGAAGCUGGAAUCGCUAGUAAUCGUAGAUCAGCAUGCUACGGUGAAUACGUUCCCGGGUCUUGUACACACCGCCCGUCACACCACGAGAGUUUGUAACUACCCGAAGCCGGGUGGAGUAAACCAUUUUUAU
rnacentral:rRNA from 1 species